rnacentral:rRNA from 1 species
GACUCUCGGCAAUGGAUAUCUCGGCUCUCGCAUCGAUGAAGAGCGCAGCGAAAUGCGAUACGUGGUGCGAAUUGCAGAAUCCCGCGAACCAUCGAGUCUUUGAACGCAAGUUGCGCCCGAGGCCAACCGGCCAAGGGCACGUCUGCCUGGGCGUCAAGCGUUG